rnacentral:rRNA from 1 species
UACAGAGGUCUCAAGCGUUGUUCGGAUUCAUUGGGCGUAAAGCGCGUGUAGGCGGUCCGGUAAGUCCGCUGUGAAAGUCGGGGGCUCAACCCUCGGAUGCCGGUGGAUACUGUCGGGCUUGAGUACGGAAGAGGCGAGUGGAAUUCCUGGUGUAGCGGUGAAAUGCGCAGAUAUCAGGAGGAACACCGGUGGCGAAGGCGGGUCUCUGGGCCGAUACUGACGCUGAGGAGCGAAAGCGUGGGGAGCGAACAGG